rnacentral:rRNA from 1 species
CGGACGGGUGAGUAAUGUCUGGGAAACUGCCCGAUGGAGGGGGAUAACUACUGGAAACGGUAGCUAAUACCGCAUAACGUCGCAAGACCAAAGAGGGGGACCUUCGGGCCUCUUGCCAUCGGAUGUGCCCAGAUGGGAUUAGCUAGUAGGUGAGGUAACGGCUCACCUAGGCGACGAUCCCUAGCUGGUCUGAGAGGAUGACCAGCCACACUGGAACUGAGACACGGUCCAG